rnacentral:rRNA from 1 species
UAUCCUACGGGAGGCAGCAGUCGGGAAUAUUGCGCAAUGGAGGAAACUCUGACGCAGUGACGCCGCGUAUAGGAAGAAGGUUUUCGGAUUGUAAACUAUUGUCCACAGGGAAGAUAAAAGACUGUACCUGUGAAGAAAGCUCCGGCUAACUACGUGCCAGCAGCCGCGGUAAUACGUAGGGGGCAAGCGUUAUCCGGAUUUACUGGGUGUAAAGGGAGCGUAGACGGUAUGGCAAGUCUGAUGUGAAAACCCGGGGCUCAACCCCGGGACUGCAUUGGAAACUGCCGAACUAGAGUGUCGGAGAG